CGGAAAGAGAGGGAUUCGA
rnacentral:tRNA from 1 species